AUCUCUGGCCCGUUAGCGCCCCCCCACUGCACAUCCACAGCCCUCUGCACACAGAGUCCCUGCAGAGGUGUCUCACGUGACCUGAGCCAGGCAGAUCGAUGGGACCCACUGGUCGCUGCUGGCACCGGCCCGAGUGACAGGGAAAGAAAGAGAAGGGUGGCGAGCUGGACAGAGGGRCAGGGACCGGAACUGGAUGGAUCCCGUCAGCCCGGAACAGUUCUCGCCACGCUCCAACCCCACUCGCCUGCCGAGCACGCAGAGCUCUCUGCGCACCGCUGUGCCCAAAGUCUGCUUGUGGGCCUGCUUGCCCGUUUCCCUACAGCUCCAGGGUGCCUGCGUCUGCCAGAGCGAGGGUGCGCGCACAGCUCCUAGAUUCCUGUUACACUCGGAUGCUGGCCUCACAGAUGAUGACCAAAACAAAGAACUGGAUUGCUAGGUCGAGCUGUGUCUCUUCAAGAUGUCCCCCUUUGGUGGACUACCCUGCCAAACAAACCAAGACAACUGACGAGGCUGUGAGGGUAUCAGAUCUCUGGACCACUUCUCCAAGGCUUUCCGGGUGAUUGACGUAACCGCUUCUCUUCACGUUCCUCAAAGCCACAUUCAUCUAUUACUUAAAACUAAACAGUUUCUCUUUUAAGAGAGGAUUGUUGUUGAAACUUUACACGUAGUCCAUAACCCACUACGCAUCAUCUCUAGUCCCUUCUGCUUUCACAACACUUUCGGUAAUUCAGGGUUGUAAUUAAGAGCACCCAUUGUCCUAUGGGCUGGAGUAAGUCAUUUCUCCUGCUCUGAGGAGGUGCCUAAAAGCCAUGCUGUUUUCUGUAGUAGCAUCACUGGGGCUUCCCGUAGCCCACUAGCGUUCUCUUAGGCUCUUCCUGAGCCCUGUAUUUUUUUAAGGUUAUUCCUUAACCAGCAAUUUUAUGUUAAGUUCUUCUUAAGCACUGUGCACAAUGCACUUAUCCCAGACUAGCCGCAUUAACAGAGUCCUCUUGCACACACAGAGGCUUCUAAGAGGUGGCUCAGAAGAGAGAAAAGUCUGCUUGUCAUCUGUGCACCCACCCGUCAGCAUUCUUCACCAAGAGGUGCUGUAAAUUCCCUUUUCUCUAAAGUGGGACCGAGUCAAGGGGGAGACACAAAUCACCCCCCAUAUUUAUUAGAACACCUCACUGCCAUGGGCACUGGGUCUGGGAGUGGCUUUAGGAUUGCUUGGGGCUUUGGGACAUCAGGCUACUGUGCCACUGCUGGAGACAUCCGGACCCCUGUGCAGCAUACGAGAGCCUGGGGAGACAUCAGAGGCAAUGGAGGACCCGUCACUACAUACUGAGCUGGGGAAGCCCACGGCUUUGGGGCAGCUGGACAGGAGGGAGCAGGCCUUUCAGUCAGUCGGUGCCCGCAUUGGCUGGCGCCCACACUCUGUGCCUGGGGGUGGGGGAGGC
rnacentral:lncRNA from 1 species